rnacentral:rRNA from 1 species
AACGAACGCUGGCGGCAUGCCUAACACAUGCAAGUCGAACGAGACCUUCGGGUCUAGUGGCGCACGGGUGCGUAACGCGUGGGAACCUGCCCUUAGGUUCGGAAUAACUCCCCGAAAGGGGUGCUAAUACAGGAUAAUGUCUUCGGACCAAAGAUUUAUCGCCUUUGGAUGGGCCCGCGUUGGAUUAGCUAGUUGGUAGGGUAAAAGCCUACCAAUGCGACGAUCCAUAGCUGGUCGGAGAGGAUGAUCAGCCACACUGGGACUGAGACACGGCCCAGACUCCUACGGGAGGCAGCAGUGGGGAAUAUUAUGCAAUGGGCGAAAGCCUGAUCCAGCAAUGCCGCGUGAGUGAUGAAGGCCUUAGGGUUGUAAAGCUCUUUUACCCGGGAUGAUAAUGACAGUACCGGGAGAAUAAGCUCCGGCUAACUCCGUG